AGAGUUUGAUCCUGGCUCAGAACGAACGCUGGCGGCAUGCCUAACACAUGCAAGUCGAACGCUUUUGGGACUUUGGUUUCAAGAGAGUGGCGCACGGGUGAGUAGCGCGUGGGAACCUGCCCUGUUGUGGGGGAUAACCGAGGGAAACUUCGGCUAAUACCGCAUGCGCCCGGGGAGUGAUCUUCGGGGAAAGAUUGAUU
rnacentral:rRNA from 1 species